AUGUCCAUUAUGGUCCCAUUAUGGUUGAUGUGUAACCUUUUGGGGAUGUUUUUAUUUUUUCACAGGCCACAGUUUUACAACAGUUCAUGUCCCGAGGAACCAGCCGCCGAGCUAGAGGAGCUGAUCGGUGUUGAGCCGGAUCGUGGUCCCGAUCGCAGUGGGAGUGCUUCCCCGUCCUGCGGGCCCCCAAAUUCCAAAGCGGUUCCCUAUUCGGUGGAAGCGGUGCUCGCACCCGGGAUUUCCAAACCUUUUCCGUCGCUUUUUGGGUCAAACGGGGACUCUGCCUCCUCGUCUUCCCCACCGCGUUCUUUUGCUCCGCUGUCGGUCCCGGCCCACCGGGUAGAGGCGCCGUACUCCGUGGAGGCCGUCCUCAGGUCGGUCAAGUCCGUCGGAAGUUCUAACUUGACCCCCGCCAGGGAACCGCCUCCAUCCGCCAAUCCUCCGUGGACCUAUUACGGUUCGGACCUUUCCAAGGAGUUCCCAAAAGCUUCCCGGUUCUCGGGGCCGUUCCGUGGAAAGGAUUCGCGUUUGGAACACAACACCGGGGAAGCAAUUGACGCCGAAGCAAGGCCGAACGGAAAUCAAGAUGUUCCAUCCUCGAAUCAGGGUCAUAAACAAGCCAAACGCUGUCUGCCUGUGAAUAAAUGUGUCCCUCCGUACUAUCAGAGCUCUACAGAGGGCAUUGGAGUAGUUAUCAACUCAAACAGUUCGACGGAUGUCCGUGUUCCACCCGUUCAACCGGAAACCCGACCAGCUGAGGAAACGAGGAAAGCCUUCCACAGCCUUUUCGCAAACCCUCUUAAUCAGAACGUCUUCAACCCUCCCCGUCUCACACCACUUCCUGCUGCUGCACCGUCAACCCCCAGACACUCUGCACCGUCAAACCCCAGACACUCUGCACCGUCACCUACACGCGCUACACCUUCAACAAACAGGAAGGAGAAGACCGCUUCUGCUGACGCUAACGCUGGCCACAGUACACAUGUUCCAGCAAGGCCUCUCGCUCUCAAACCUGAACACGGACCAAGUGCGGCCUUUAAGGUCGCUAAGCCAGCAGUGCCUUCUGGCUCAAAGUCCCGGAGCACAGAGUCACCCGGCCCCUCUCCCCAAGCCAAGACGGCUUGCCGAGCGAGCGCACCGGCUCACUGUGAUCGAUCUGUACUGGGACGUAGUAAGCCUGUGAAGCGGCCCUACCACAGCAGCAUGGCGAGCUCAGGUACUGACACCGAUGAGGAUCUGCCUCCCUUACAGAUCGCGAUGGACCCGAUGGUCGGUUCUUCCGAUUCCCCAGAGCCGAGCGACGGGGAGCCGCCGGUCAAGGCCAGCGGGGGAGUGCUGCGCGGUCUGUUUGCGACCCCCAUCCACCAGACUACUGCUAUUGCGCCGCCUCCCUCGACCCCGGGGCACCGGGGUCCUUGGGAGCCUUGCCCUGCAGGGGGCAGCGGUGCACACCACACCCGGACACCUGGUGCUGCAGGCUCACCUGCGUCUCGUCCGGGUCCAAAACAUCCGAAGGAAAAAGAGCAGGAAUCCCGAACAACCGGCCCUCCGCCGCCGCCAGCUCAUUCCGUUCGGAAGAAUUUGCACAUGCCCGAAAUUUCUUCGGAGAAAGCCCCUUCCCAUGCAGCCACUAACACUAGUAAUUCAGUUCUCAAGAGCCUCUUCCUAAACUUGAGACCCUACAACCAGGAAGAACAACGUGUUACCCACAGCAGUGCGUACUACUUCUUAAGUCACUUUAUCAACAAUAUUAAACUCUCAGUGCCGCAUCAGGCAAAGCCAAAUCUCAUUCCCACAAAGCCUCCAACUCAUUUAAUUUCCUUCAUCAUAUCUCUUUCAGAAAGUGGAGACAAAGAUGAGAUAAACCACAGGGCCAUCUCCAAAGAACCACAAACGACAGGAGAGGAGGAGGAGGAGGAAGAAGAAGAAGAAAAAGAGGAGGAGGAGGAGGAAGAGGAGGAGGAAGAAGAAGAAGAAGAAAAAGAGGAGGAGGAGGAGGAGGCCAGAAGGAAGGCGAUGAGGAGCACAGAGAUGUUGGGAGGAGUUGAGCCAGCAGGGUGUCAUGUGCAUCCUGACCACCAGGGCUCCGGUGAACCUCCCAGUCAGCCACCAGCUCCAGCUCAUCACCGGUCCCUGGAGAAGAACCCCCACAGCCGCUCUCCAAGGCCCUCUGCUGUGCGUCCGGCAGGCCGUUUGGACCCAGUCCAGCUCCUAUCCCACGGCGCUGAACAGCCUCCGAUCGGAUCAAACGGGCCCCUGACCCGGCCUCAGAGCCGACCGCCUCUGACCUCCAUGAAGGGGCUGCUGUCGAGCCUCUUCAAGACUCUGGACCCUGCUGCCUCUCCCUUUGGAAAUUAG
ensembl:lncRNA